rnacentral:lncRNA from 10 species
GGUCAGCUGCAUGGCCUGAUGAGGCCUCCUCACGCCACUCAUUGUGGCCGCACUACAAUGUUAGUAGAUAAUUUAAGUCAUCGCUGGCCUCCGUUUAUCACCAAAGCAGACUAUAGAGCACUUUACUUCUGCUGGAUAAAUGAUAAGCUUUCAUAUUGACCCUGCUAGCCAAAAAAUGUAGGGAAAGGGAAAUAAACAAUGGACAUCUAAAAAAAUCCAGAAACAAAACAAACAACAGAAAAUUCUCCGAGUGGCUCUUUCUCUGAGACUGAGAGCGUGUUUUACUCUGGGAACUCUGCCUAAGUAAUCUAGGCACCUUUUGUGAAGCAGGGAUCUCCUUUGUUGAUGUUUCCCCCAAACUCCAAAACUUUGAUUCUAUUCAACUUGAGAUAUUUGUUUAUCCUAUCACGCCAGUUAUUUUCCCCAAACUGCUCAUUUUCACAUCCUCUAAAGCUAUGGUUCUCAAAAUAUGGUCCCUGAGCCAGUAGCAAUAGCACCUGGGAACUUCUUACAAAUCCAAAUUCUGGAAGGCCAACGCAGACCUCCUGAAUCAGAAACUGGAUGUUGGGUCCAGUAAUCCGGGUUUUCACAACUCUCCUGGUGACUCUGAUGCCAGCUAAAGCCUGAGAACCACUGCCGCAGAGCUUUACCUAACAAGCCUUCAGGUCUGUCUACAUCUUGUUGGUUUGAUAGCAAUGGAGUGAAAUUCUCUGUGUUUGUGUCCACUAUAUCUAAUUACAACUUAUGGACACUCAGGAAUCGUUAAAUGACAAUAUGGGAAGGGGAGAUGUUCACAUUCAUUAAAUACUGUUCUAAAAUUAUACCCGCAGUGUAACUGAGAGAGGUAUGACUGUGUGACGACACAGAGAGGUAAUGCCAUUAAAAGAAAGGCUCACUGCUGCUCACAGCUCCCCAGGAAAUGAGAGGCAAGGCAUGCAACUCAGGACCAUGGAGGAGGUUCCAGUGCCAGGAAGCAGAAGUGGGAGCGAGGGGAAAGCUGAGGCUAGAGCCUUUAUUGGGGUUUCUGCAGGAAAGGCAAGGCAGGGCAGGGCGAAGAGCUUAAGGUUGGCAGUUUCAAUAAUUCUAGGGGGCUUUGGGGCAUAGAGGUGGUCUUUAGUUGCAUAGAUCUGUUCCCUAGAGUUAUUCAGGGGUGUGGAAAUAUUGGCUUUAUGUGUGAGAGCUAGACAAGGAAAUGGUUGAGGCUGUAGACUCGGGAUUGGUUGGUGCUCCCUGGAGACCCCUGUUUUGUAUAAGAAUUGGCUACUCCUGGGAGGUGAAGUCUCUCCCUGGCCAGCAAGCUUUCUGAGAUAUUAGAACAUCAUAAAAUAUAGAAAAUAAAAAAAAUGCUUAAAACAAGUAUGUGCCAGGGAUUAUACUAGAAUAUAUAUAUGUAUAAAAUCCCAUUUCAUGCUCACAGCAGCCCUAUGCAGUUGGUUUUGUCCUACCACAAAUAAUAAAACUGAAGUUCAGAGAGGUCAAGUAAUUUGUCUAAGCUCACACAGCUGCAAGUGGUGGAGCAGAGAUUUAAGUAAGACUAGUUUGACUUUAAAAGCUCUUCCAACUUAUAAAGCUAUAUAACAGAGUCUAGCUUUUCUCCUAGGAACUAUAUGAAACUCAAAGUCUGGCAAUGACUGGAGAGAACUGGACUGGAAAGUUUCUCAAGCUUGAUAGAGUUGAAGGGACUACAGCUGGGAGAGGGCAGCUAUUAGGGGAGCCACAGCUGCCAGUCUGCAUUCAUAUUCUACGUGGGGGAGGGAUGGGACAUACAUACACACAUUUCUCACAGCCAAGUUUAAAACAAUUUAAAUGAAGCAAAGUAUUCAAUUAGAGAUGCUUGAGGAAACCAGGCACGUAUCAUCUAUGUCAGCAGCAAAGGAGAAGAAAAUAUUUAGCCUUUGCAAGCUGUGACCACUUCAGCACUGUAUGAUGAUGUUGCCUCACGGAAGAGCAAAAGAAUACAUCCAGUACCUUAGAGAGAUUAAUUUCCCCAGGAAAAAAAAAGAAAACAAAGGAAGAUCCUCUGAUUACAUUUAAAUAUUUCCUUGCCAAUGCUUGGGGGAAUUCUGACAUUCCUUCUUGCAAAGGAAAGCUUUUGUGCCUGGGAAAAAGGUGAUUAGGGCACUGUGCCUGGGAGGAUAGAGGCGAGGGAGGGGUGAAAGGGAGGAAGGGGUGUUUCAAUAGCAGCACAGGUGCAACAGUUUGGACUGAGUGAUGGCCUUACAAAUGACCCUGGCACAGAGCAGAGGAAACCCAAGGAGAAGAUUAAUUGAAUUACAGCUACAGUAUGUAUGUAUGCAUUUUAUUUCUGUUCUAAAGUCUAAAUGGAUUGUGGGGCUGGCUAACCAGCUGGGGUAAGGUCAAAAUAUUGAGGAAAUGAGAGGGGAUAUAGAUGAACAAUUUUCUUGAUAGGGAACAAAUCCUUAGCUUGUUUGCUUUUGUCUAGAACAUUUUGGAGUCUGAAAAGGCUCAGUUCAUAACCUCCUUUAUGUAAGUGCAAUCUAAUUAUUUUUCAUGCCAGGAUAUGACCAGUACCUGAGGUUUUGGCUUUAAGACUAUGGAAGGUAAAUUGGGAUAAGGAGUAGAACAUUUGCUUUAUAACCCAAUUUCUCGCUUUCCAGGAGAGCUGAUGGUAGAAUUUUUUCUUUAGGACACUGAAAAUAUAAUUUAAAUUUUAAGAAAAGUUAAUAUCCACACACCUUUACUACAGAGGUAAUGUACGCCCAGUACCUCAAAUUCAUCUUGCAUAUAGUAAGCCUUCAACCCAGGAAGACCAACCACCCUGUCCCUUGCUUUAACAACUGUUUAAGAGAAAAUAUGGCAUAUUAGAAGGACUGUUACUAAACUGGGUGACUAAUGAGUGGUGUGUCAUCAGACUAUACAGUCUUAAAUACCUCAUUUUAGCCUCUCUGAGACUUGGCUUAAUUGUGUCUAAUAGCCCCUCCAUCUGUCUUCUGGGAGUCAUGCUCGCCCAGCAGUUCCUCUCUCCUUAUUCUUGUCAGCCUGUGCAUGGUUGCUAACGCUGUGCUGUAGUGAGAUCUUGCUGGCCAGCCCCAACAGCAUUCCGCCCCUCACCACUCAGCGAGGUUUAUAUAAACUUGCAAGAUACCAUAUCAAUCUAAACUGAUUAGAGUCAUCACAACUGCCCCCAACACAGUUGUCCUCAACUAACAAUGGCACUUCGGAAAAGCCUGCAUUUCAUUGAUGACUGAAGUCCUCACUAGUGCAAAACAGUAGCUCUUCUAGUCACAAGACUUUAUUCCACAUUGCAUAAAAUUCUAGGAGUCUCUGUGGUAUGUUCAUACUGAAUCAGGGGUAGCUUUAAUAGAAUUUGUGUUUAUGACCAUCAGGAUUAAGAAUGUAAAUUGAUGCUAACUGCAUGACUGACACCUAGUGGAUAUAUGCCAGUGGUGCUGUUUAUAACCAUGCUUCCUUCCUCCCCUCAACCUGCCCUGGCAGGCAUGCUAUAUUAUGGCCCUUCAGAAUAUUAUCCAUAUGGGGAAAAAAAAUCACAUUGGAAGAAAUCAUUGUCUUAAAUACAGAAUUAUGUCAUUAUAUAUUGCUAAAAUAAUAGGACCAAAAACCUAGAAAUACAGAAUAUUUACAGAGAUUUGAAAGAAUAUACAGUAGCUUGGAGUUAAAAAAAAAUAAAAUAAAAAUAAAAAAAGACCAGAUAUCAAAAUUUAGUUUGUUUAGUUUGUUGGAAAGGAUUGAAAUACACUGACAUGUAAAAGCUUGUGUAAUAUACAAAUAUCCACACAGAAUUGAAAUGCUUAGUAUUAUAUCUUAUCUUUGUUUUUUUGACAUUAACUUACGUGCUUGAGAGAUACACAGAUAAAGGUUUAGUCUACUUAUUCUGACAUGAACUAGCACUUGUGAUUGUAGUAAAAGUGUUAAAACUGCUACUAUUCUGAGAAUCAAAUAUUGAUAAUCAACAAUUAGAAUAAAUUUUACAUAAUUUGUAUGUUUCUUUUACCUACUGGGAAAUUUUAUUAUUACUAUUAAAAAUAGACAAAAGGGUUGAUUGUGUCAAUAAGAAAUUUUAAGCAC